GCCGGAGUGGUGAAACUGGUAGACGCAGAGGACUCAAAAUCCUCCGGGCCCUGCGCCCAUGUCGGUUCGACUCCGACCUCCGGCACCA
rnacentral:tRNA from 1 species